CUCUGGCAUUGUCUGGAAUGGAGAGAUUAGGAAUGAGGAGACAGGGAGAGGAGAGGACCCUGCCAGGUCCCUGGCGCAGGCUGCUUCUGAGAGGAGGAACCAGCACUAUUUUACUCUGCCAAUGUUGAUACUGGAAAUCUCAACCUGAGUAUCCUCAGUGAGAGCUUGCUGUUCUCUCCACCUGGAAGACUCUGCUGCUCCAUGCCUCCUUUCUAGGCAUCCAAAUGCCCACUUACUCCUUAUGCAGGUCUCCAGAAGUGCCCCACCUUCCCAGGCUUUCCCACACCACCUCAGCACUUUAUACCUCAAUCACAUCUCCCUCUGGUCUCUUCUUUGCAGCAUUUAUCAUCACCUGACAUGACCCUGUUCCACUGUUUGCUUGAUUGCAAUCUCUUCCCCUGCCAGAAUGUAAGAAAUAUCUUGAAAUAGUUCCUGAUGCCAAAAAGGUUUUCAUAAAUUUGUGAAUGAGCAUAUUAAAAAAAUGAUUAAUUGA